GUGAGUCAUCGAAUCUUUGAACGCACCUUGCGCCCCUUGGUAUUCCGAGGGGCAUGCCUGUUUGAGUGUCAUUAAAUCCUCAACCGCGCCGAUUGAUUUUCGGUGGGGCUUGGACUUUGGAGCGUGCUGGCGAAGGUCGGCUCCUCUUUAAAUGCAUCAGCGGAAGAAACCUUUGUCUUUCCCGCCUUCGGUGUGAUAAUUGUGUUGCGCCGUGGUGGAACUUCAACGAUCCGCUUACAAUGGUCUUCGGACGAAACCUCAUGUCAUCUUGACCUCAAAUCAGGUAGGACUACCGCUGAACUUAA
rnacentral:rRNA from 1 species